UUUCAUCUAUCUGAAGUCAGACACUUGUUGAUCUGCUACUCUCAGGUUGUUUCAGCAUGGACGCUAAUUUCAGGGUUCUGUGGGAUAAAGAAAACAAAAUCAUUUUGCUUCCCUUUUUUCAGGGCUCUCGCCUAUUCUUCAGAAGCCGUUAAGGUGCCUUCCCUGUGAUUUAGAGAAUUGACCACAAGAGAAGACUCCCUUUCAAACUCUUCAUUCUCUGGUUCAGAGGUUUGAUGUAAUGGUUGUCUCAUCGUACAUGGUCAGCCACAGGAUAUACUUCAUCCAUUUCAGAGCUGUACUCCUGAGUUCCAUGCUAUAAUCAGAAAUAUGUGGCACAUUUUGAACAAAGGAAAUAUAUACCCAACAAAGUGUUAAAAUGGAGCUGCCAACCAGACAAACCCUAGAAAUAUGUAGCCACUUACAGGCAGAACACAACUACAUGUGUUCCCAAUGUGGAAGGCAUUCCGGAAGUGUAUGCAUCCACAUUUCUACAUGAGGCAUCGCCUAUGCAGGCAAUCAAAGGAUGUUGAUGGAUAAGUGUUUCAGGCAGAAUAAUGGCCCUCAAAGAUGUUGACACCAGAAUCUUCAGAACCUUUGCAUAUGUUACCUAACAUGACAAAAGGGACUUUGCUGAUGUGAUUAAGGUUAAGAACUUUGAGAAGGGAAGAUUAUCCUGGAUUAUACAGGUCGACGUUUAUUUCUUUCUGAACUUUCCUGGAGGAUCAUCGGCCAUACUCCAGCAGAAGGGUGGAUUUGAAAAAAUAACGUUUCCACGGCAACAGUGGCAGCAAUUCACAAAGCCCAGAGUCUUCCCUGGAGAAGAGUGCUGAUGACGAGGAUUCAUGUCUCACAACCCAGCACACAGGAAUGAUGUCACACAGAAUUUGACUUGGGGAAGAAGAAGAAAAGAAGGUGGAUUUCAGCAUGAAAGAAUCUAAACAGUCAUUAGUGAACAAAUGUGUAGCAGUGCUGUCCAACAGAACUUUCUGAAGAAGUAAUGGGAAUACUCUGUAUCUGUGAUGUCCUGUAUGGUAGCCACUGGCCUCACACAGCUCUUGAGCACUUGAAAUGUGGCUACUGUGACUGAGUAAUUGAGUUUUAAAAUUUCAUCAAUUUUAAUUAAUUGAAAUUUAAAUAGCCACAUGAGGCCAGUGACUACAGAAUUGAACAGCACAGGUCUCACAGAUGGACUAAGAGUAAGCCAGUUACGAAGAAGCUUAUACAGGAAGACCGGCUAAAAUAUGUCAAAGGAGAGUUUCUCUUUCUGAACUCCGAGGAGCUGUUCAAAUAAGACUGGUCUGGAGAGAGUUUUGGGUGGCUGGAGGUAUUUUCACCCCUCCACUUACUGUGCCUAACCUUAGUAUUGUUGCCAUUCUCACGUUUCUGUAUGACUCCAUCUCCCUUGUUCUGUUCCGAUGCCGCUUUUUCAGUUUUUCUGAGCUCUCAAUUAAACACAGUGAAAUGAAUCUCCUCCAAGUGCCUUUUUAGUGACUAAACUGAAUAGUUGGCUCAGAAUGCUACAAAGUCCUCUCCCUCAGGAAGAACCAAGUUUUACCAUUAAGAUCCUGAUAGAUUUACCAGCUUUAACUGACACCUCUUGGGGUGGCUUCCAGAUUCACACUUUCUCCUUUUUGAGAAGACUCCCAGACACACGGGGAUAGGUCCUGAGUGAUCAUAUUUGAGCCACACAAUCUUGUUACGCUUGCUGUAGAUCCAUGGUUCAAAAACAUUCAAGUGUGUCUGACUCAGCUGGAGGACUUGUGAAGACACAUGUGGUGGGACCCAUCCCUAAAGCUUCUUUUCCAGUAGGUGUGUAGGUGUGGCCCAAGUAUCUGCAUAUCUAACAAGUUCUCAGGUGAUACUGAUGUUGCUGGUCUGGGGAUUGUACUUUAAGAUAAUUAAGUCAGGGACUGUUGCCUGACAUAGGACAAUAAGCUUCUCUCAGGAAUUUGAAAUUUGGAACAAAGAGCUCGGAGUCUUAGUGCUAGUAGACCAGUGCUCUGGAGAGGUCUGAAAACUACCACUGCUUAGGUUCCUAGUUUGUCCAGUUCCUGUUUGUCUUGAGCCUUGGUUGUCUAAUCCUUUGAAUAAAUCCCAUUACAUUCUUUGUUUUGCAUAAACUGGCCAUAGAAAGUUCUUGUUGUCUGCCC
rnacentral:lncRNA from 1 species